CCGCCUCGAAGCUCCCUUCCCAACGGGCGGUGGGCUGAAUCCUUUGCAGACGACUUAAAUACGCGACGGGGCAUUGUAAGUGGCAGAGUGGCCUUGCUGCCACGAUCCACUGAGAUCCAGCCCCAUGUCGCACGGNUUCGU
rfam:Hordeum vulgare subsp. vulgare, WGS project CAJW01000000 data, contig: morex_contig_719834